rnacentral:tRNA from 1 species
GAGGGUGUAGCUCAGUGGUAAAGCAUGUGCUUCACACGCACGGGGUCCUGGGUUCAGUCCCUCGUACCUCCA